CCCCCGCCCCGAUCCGGCGGCCUGCCGGAAACGGGGCGGGGGUCGUGACAAUAUGGCUUUCAGAGAGUGAGGGGUGAUGAUAUAUUUUCGGCAAAAUAUAGUGGAAGAGGGUAUUUGGGGUAUGCAUGUGCAAUUUGGAAGGGGGGAAGCCGAUGUGUAUCUAUGAGUACUAUGCCUAUUUAGCCAAAUUUAAGUGUUUAUGAUGUGUGUGACAUAUAGAAUCGUUAGAGGUAACUUGAGUAAUUAAAGCAAAGAGAGAGGGGGCUCGGUUCUGAACUAGGUCGACUCAAUGAGAACCGGUUCGAACGGAACCGGCUGGUUUCAAAUGGUUCCGGCCAGUUUCGGUCGGUUCGGAACCCAUUUCGACCGAUUCGAGGUCAGAACCGAUUUUAAUGGGCGAAUCAAUCCGGUUCCCCAUUGGGUCGGCUCGGUACGGGCCGAACCGGACGGUUCGGUCUGCUUUGGCCUAUCUUUCUCUCGAGAGUUUUCCGAGCCGAAGAGGGAGUGCUCUCUCAAUUUUUCUAAGCUGGGGAGGGGAACCGAAUCAAAUGCUUGAACUGUGCUAGUCCCCAAACAAUUUGGUUUAGUACUAUGGCUGGUUCGGCAUGUUUCGGCAAACAUUGUAGUUAUCCAUUGAAUAACAAAGCCUGUUGAUUAAUUUUGUUGUUUCCCUACUAGUUUUAUAGCAAUUCUCUCAGUUGUAUUCAUUACUAGAAAGAACUAUCAUACCUUUUACUUUCUCUUUUGAAUUGAAAAUUCUACCAAGUGCGUGACAAUCAAUUUAAGUUUUCAUGAAAUUGAAAAUUUCCAUUGGCAAAAUCACUCCAAUGUGGAGAAGUUGGGAGUCUUAACUAGUUUGCUGCCCAGAUAACUAUGCAGAGUAGUUGCUGAAGGUAGCAUGAAACUUUUCAUCAACAGCUAAUAGAGUAUCAAAAGGCACAAUUAGCUGGGUAAAAGGCAAACUUUUCUUGGAUAACAAGUACUGUUGAGAGCAAGGUCUGAUGAACCGGCCCGUACCGGCCGAUUCGGACCGGUCCAGCCUGUACAGAAUUUGGCUGGAGACGAAGAAGACGAAGAGAAGGAGAGAGAGCGCGGGGAAGAGAAGGAGGGAGGAGACCUGUGGCCGCCAUCGGAGAGUCGCAGAGGGGCGGCGGAGCCCGCGGGGGCGCGGCUGAGGCCGCGGCCGCGUCCCUGUUUUGAAUCGCCGUGCCUUCGCGGGCUCCGCCGCCCCUCCGCAGCUCUCCGAUGGCGGUCAUAGGUCUCCUCCCUCCCUCUCUUCUCUGCGCUUUCUCUCCUUCUCUUUUUCUUCCCCGGCUCCAGCGAGGAAGAGCCGGCCGGUUCCAGUAGGAACCGGAACCGUAUCGGUCCGAUAGGCGGCUAGUAAGCCAAUCGGACUUGGUACGACGAACCUUGGUUGAGAGAAUACAGGAUUAUGAGCCUUAAAUGCAAUAAAAGGUCAUAAUAAUUUCUCAUCCCACAGAGAUUUUGAAGACAUUGCUUUUUAUGGGUGGUUUGCAUAAGUGCUUGCCAGACAUCUCAAUAUCUCUUCAUUUUUGUAAUUACUUCAUAUAUCAUUGACACGAUUGAUAACAAUUUGCUUAAGUAGAUUGAAAUAAAUGCUGUUCUCUUCUUUUGCAUCUCCUGAAUCAGAUGAUUUUGCAUCUCGGCAGUUGUUUCAGCAGCAUGUGGGAUCAAGGAUGAGUAAUGUUGUUACUGCUGGAUUCAAAAAUGAAAGUCAGAUUGGAAAUGCCUAUGGUAAGCUUGCGUUAGUUAUGUUUUUUUCUUCGCUUUUUAUAAUUCUUCACUGAAUAGUUCUUCAUGUUUGGUUUAAGAAGUCAACGGAAAGUAUUUGUAAGAUUUGAAGUCACUUUAUUUGCAUUUUUCUGGAAUUCAAGUUAUCAGGGGUACUUCAUGUUCUUUUAAUUGGCAAUUGUCUGUAAUUUACUGCUCAUAUUGAAUCCUUGCAUAUUCUAUCCUUCCUGUUGGUCAUUAACAUACUCAUCAAAUAACUAUCAAACAGAAGAUAAAUCUGUUUAUGACACUGCUUUCUUCUUCUAUAAUUAUCUUCAUACCUAGGUUGUGCUCUUUUUUAUUUCACUCGAACAACUUAAACUUUUAAGUGGCUUAAUGUGGAAAAUAGAAAAUAAAACCAUGGUCUGCUGUACAACCCCAUAUGGGGCGUACCAUAUUAUACCGGAAGAAAACUGGUAUGAAAAUCAACUUUGAGUCAGUACACAUCCCAUACCACCCCGUACCGAAAUACCACCUUGUACCGAGGCAUACCGGCCUGUACCGAGGUGUGUACCAACCUAUACUGAAGUGCACCGACCUGUAUCGAGGCGUACCAAGAUAUAGAUUGAGAAAAAUGGGUAGAAAGGUAUUUCAGUACAGGGUGCGUACCGUACUGUACCGUGCUAAACCGAUAAGGUACCUAUAUAGUACCCGAUACUGAGAUUGCGGAUCUUUAAGAAAACCAAUUACUAAGUCACUUCACUAAUACCUCUACUAUGGUGUGGACAUGGUAAAGGCAAUCUGAAAUGAUUGAUCAAAUUUGAGCAAGAGAAAUUUGUGAUCUGCAAUUUUUCUUUAUGUCGCAAUAGUUUUCUAUAGUUUCCUACUAAUCAAGGUUUUAAAUGAGCACGGAUUAUACAAUAUGAGAAGCAAUGUGAAGGAAGACUGUAGUAUGAUUAAGUGUAUCUUGACUGCAAUGUGACAUCCAACGAAAUUCUUGCUUAGUUAAACUCAUUUUUUCAUGGCAUAUACAUCCAACUCAGCUUUAGACUACAGAGUCAGUUUUCCAGAUAAAUUGACUUGUUUGCAGCUGGUUUGAUAUAUCAAAUCUCCUGAAGAUGAAAUCUGGCUGUUCAUAUGGUUCACUGACUUCAGUAGUCAUAGUCGCAGAUGAGUACCCUCCUGGAAAUCAUGCAUCUGCAUAGCUACACUUAAGUAGGAUAGUUGUGCAUAUUGCUAGACCUAUUAAAACUUGUUUCUCUGCCUUAUCUAUAUAAUGACUAUGAUUGAAGAAAUUGUGACUUGCUUCUUGGUAUAUUCUAAUAGUCACCUUUAUUUCUUCCUAGUCAAUCAAACAAAUAAACCGAUAAAUCAUAUAACAUACAUCCAUACUUGCAUUUGAAUGACCCUCACCUUGAUUUAUAUUUUAUACUAGUAUACUUAUGCAAGAAGUGCUGUUGUGAUAAUUUUGUUGGUGACAACAUUUCUCAUGAUCCCAAAAAUGCUUCUGGCCUGAAAGAGCCACUGGAUCCCUGACCUCAGCUUUGCCAUUCUAUCUUUUGCUGGUUGAGGUCAUAUAUUUCUCUGCUUACUGUUCAAGGUUGAUCAAGGUGGUUGGUUCCGCUUGUCUUUGCGGCAGCCUUCCUCAUUAUGUAUGGCAUUAUUGCACCAUGUUGCGGUAUGAAGUCCAAGAUGCAAAGCAAUGUCUCAAUUGCCUGGUCAUGAGCCUUGAUCCUGGCUUAGGCCUGGUUGGGGUCCCGGGAAUAGACUGUGUACACUGAACUGGCCAGUGGUGUUCCUAUUUCUUCUCCCACUUCAUAACCAACCUCCCUGCCAUCCACACUGUUGUUGUCAUUUUUGCAUCCGCACUGUUAUUGCCAUCCAAGGUCUCAACGGUCUGGAUCAUGAUCCUUGGUCCUGGCUUAAGCCUGGUUGGGGUCCCCGGAAUAAGCUUUGUGUACACUGUACUGGUCGGUGGUGUUCCUCAUUUCUUCUCCCACUUCAUAACCAACCUCCCUGCCAUCCACACUUUUGUUGUCAUUGUUGUGUUUUGCUGUGUUGCAAGGUAUGGAUACAGAGACCUUCACAGGAAAGAUAGCUUUGAGAAGAUGCUGUUUGAUAGCCUCACCUUUUAUGUUCAAAUGGAAUCCAUGAUGGAUAAUACUUUUAUUCAGUAGAGAGUAGCUUAUGCAAGCAGCAACAGAACGAGAAGCCAAUGUUUCUGCUAAACACUCAUCAACACUCGAUUCCAUCGUUCCUGUCAAAUCUUCAUGGUGGAGAAACCGUCAGGUUAGAUGAUGAAGUCGAGCACAACAUUUACUGUGGAUGAUGAGUUAAAAUUUCUGAAUGAGUGUAGGGAUGCUGCGGUGGCGCACAUGCUGGGGAACACAAUCGUGGGUGCUCAAAGGGAUUUGCUGUUUUUCAAAAAAAAAUGCUAUCAAUUACAUAAAUGCAUUCCCUAGGAUUUAUAGGGAGAAUAUUGUGAUGUUCAAUGCUCCCCAUGAGAGUCUAUUAAAUGUUUGGCAGAUAUUCUAUGUAUAGAUCAUCUGACUGACAAUGUGUAUGUGUUUUGGCAUGCUUUUGAGUGAGAAAUCUGAGCCCUUCUUUUCUGCUGGGAUGAUAAAAUGUUCAAA